UCAAUAGUUCGUGACAUAUACUAAAUUACGUAUAUGUCGUAUAUAUUUCGAUAAUAUACCAAUAGUUCGUGACAUUUUGGGUUAUUUUUCUUUUAUAUUAUUUUCUGUUUGUAAUUUAAGUUUUCCAUAUGAGAUUACAUCAGCUUUGGUGUUUGAUUUUUAUUAAGUUGGACAAAAAAUUUAGUAAAAUUCCGUUACAUGGCAGAAAUUGGUUUUAAAACAAUUCAUGCAAGAUUCUUCAAAAUCGGGAAAGUUUCAGCUAAAAAGGGUAUUAGGCCGUUGGAAUUUGUAGAAACAAUUAACCAAAAUGAGAAGCCUAAUGUUCUACAUUCCCAGCGUUACUACACUAGUUUAAGUGGGAUUCGUGGUGUUGAGUCCAACUACCAUCAAACAACUCCACCAGGCACCAACUAAUUGCUUUUCCCCGUCUAAUGUUCAGUUCUGCAUUUCUAUAUUCAAAUUGAAUCCCUGUAACUAAAAACAUUUUAAACGCAACGGUUCCCACCUUCAAAUCAAAUAAAUCUUACUUAAAUAGUGUAAUCCAUAAUACAUUCAAAGUCGAACGCCACCAUAGAUUAAAAUAUUGAGACCUAGUAGUUUCAAACUUUAAACUCAAAGAGAGGUGAGAAAAAUUACUUGUAUUUAGUCUUCUUGAUUGCAAUCACCAUUGUUUAGUUCCGAAAAUGCUCCAACGAUUAAUCGCCGUCGACAGCGAGUAACUCUUCGCCCUUCGAUUGGGAGUGGAGAAUAAAGAUCGAGAGUGGAUGGUGGAGUGGGAGAGAUGGUGACUAUGAGUGAGUGUUGUCUGUUGCUUCUCACCGACUCGCCGAAGAAUAGCUAGCUCGUCGGUUGGGAGAAGAGAGUAGAGAUCGAGACUUCGACAGUGGACUCGCCGUCGCAUAUAGCUGCUCGCUGACUCGCCGUUGCUCGUUGAUCGACGGUUGGGAGUGGGAGAAGAGGAGAGUGUAGAUCGAAGCGGAGGUCGAGUGGAGUGCUGUUGUUGCUGACCUAAUUUCAGAGUUUCAGAGACUCGUCAAAAUGAAUGGAAGGGAAUU
rnacentral:lncRNA from 1 species